UACGUAGGGGGCAAGCGUUGUCCGGAAUCAUUGGGCGUAAAGCGCGUGUAGGCGGCCCGGUAAGUCCGCUGUGAAAGUCGGGGGCUCAACCCUCGAAUGCCGGUGGAUACUGUCGGGCUAGAGUGCGGGAGAGGCGAGUGGAAUUCCUGGUGUAGUGGUGAAAUGCGCAGAUAUCAGGAGGAACACCAAUUGCGAAGGCAGCUCGCUGGAACGUAACUGACGCUGAGACGCGAAAGCGUGGGGAGCAAACAGG
rnacentral:rRNA from 1 species